CCCAGGGCUGCGCCCUGGGCUAAUAUAAACCGCACUUUCAGGGCG
rnacentral:sRNA from 1 species